rnacentral:rRNA from 1 species
GACAGAUGGUGCAAACGGUGUUCGGAAUUACUGGGCGUAAAGCGUGUGUAGGCGGUCUAUUAAGUCGGAUGUGAAAGCCCUGGGCUCAACCCAGGAAGUGCACUCGAAACUGGUAGACUUGAGUAUCGGAGAGGUUGGUGGAAUUCUCGGUGUAGAGGUGAAAUUCGUAGAUAUCGAGAGGAACACCGGUGGCGAAGGCGGCCAACUGGACGAAUACUGACGCUGAGACACGAAAGCGUGGGGAGCAAACAGG